UGAUGUGUUGCUAGUUGAUCAACCCUGAGAGCACAGAACUGAGGAUGAGCAAACCUCCUUGACCUUAAAGCUUAUGGGCCUUAAUAGAGAAAACGGAAAGUUGGUUCGCACAGGUGCCGUGGCACCAUGGAGAUAAAAUGGAAGAUUUGGAGCAGAAACCACCAUAGCAACGAAAACAAGAGUCCAGAUGGCCUGAGAACAGGAUCUGAACCAGGGGUCCCUGCACCCCACCAGGAAAGAGCCCCUGAGCCGGAGUAUUGCUGGCCAAGACUGGGGGUGUGGGGAGUUGAUCAUCUGAGUGCCAGGAGCUGCCACUGGAGAGUGGCAUCACAACUGUCUCUCUGAAGUUUGGAACAGGAGAAGCAGGAAGCAUGGGGACCCACGUUCUGCCUUAAGGAAUGACUUCAGCCUAUCAUCUCUGGCCAUGUAUUUCUGUCAACUGCCCAGCCUCUGCCUCUUCUGCAAUAGACAUAUCCCUGCCACGCUGACCUCUCUCGCCCACUGUUCCCACCACAUGCACCUGGGCACACCAUGUUCACCCUGCGCUUAGCCACAGGCCCAAGGACCAGAACAUCUGAGGUCACUUUGUUCUUGUGUCACUAGAUCCUUGCCUCCUCAGUGAGCCCCGUGUCCCCACA